AGAGUUUGAUCCUGGCUCAGGAUGAACGCUAGCUACAGGCUUAACACAUGCAAGUCGCGGGGCAGCAUGAAGGAUGCUUGCAUUCUUUGAUGGCGACCGGCGCACGGGUGAGUAACGCGUAUCCAACCUGCCCCUUUCCCCGGCACAGCCCGUAGAAAUGCGGAUUAAUGCCGGAUGCGGUCGUGUGACGGCAUCAGAGCACGACGAAAGGAGCGGUCCGGAACGGGAUGGGGAUGCGUCCGAUUAGCUUGACGGCGGGGUAACGGCCCACCGUGGCGACGAUCGGUAGGGGCCCUGAGAGGGGAAUCCCCCACAUUGGGACUGAGACACGGCCCAAACUCCUACGGGAGGCAGCAGUGAGGAAUAUUGGUCAAUGGGCGUAAGCCUGAACCAGCCAAGUAGCGUGAGGGACGACGGCCCUAUGGGUUGUAAACCUCUUUUGUACGGGGAUAAAGUGUGGGACGUGUCCCAUAUUGCAGGUACCGUACGAAUAAGGACCGGCUAAUUCCGUGCCAGCAGCCGCGGUAAUACGGAAGGUCCGGGCGUUAUCCGGAUUUAUUGGGUUUAAAGGGAGCGUAGGCGGGCUGGAAAGUCAGUUGUGAAAGUUCGGGGCUCAACCUCGGAAUUGCAGUUGAAACUGUCAGUCUUGAGUUCACGCAGGGGCGCUGGAAUUCAUGGUGUAGCGGUGAAAUGCUUAGAUAUCAUGAAGAACUCCGAUCGCGAAGGCAUGUGCCCGGAGUGCGACUGACGCUGAGGCUCGAAAGUGCGGGUAUCAAACAGGAUUAGAUACCCUGGUAGUCCGCACGGUAAACGAUGAAUGCUCGCUAUGGGCGAUAUAUUGUCCGUGGCCAAGCGAAAGCGUUAAGCAUUCCACCUGGGGAGUACGCCGGCAACGGUGAAACUCAAAGGAAUUGACGGGGGC
rnacentral:rRNA from 1 species